AUAUGUUUAAAAUUAGAUACCAUAUGCAAUUUUCAGAUAAUUUUUUCAGAAUAAUAAUAUAAAUUACUUCGCAGAUAAAAUAUAUCAUUCUAUCAAAUUAUUAAUAUUAAGAUCUUUUAAGAAAAAAGAAAUUAAACUUCUUUCUCACCACCAUAUUUAAUUUUUAGAAUAAGUUAUUCAGAAGCCUAAUCCUAAUCUCAGAAUAAUAUAUCUUAGGUGUUAUAACAGUUAAGUAUGACUGUUUCAUUCCCUUCUGUUGAAAUCCGAACGGCGAAAAAUAGAUCCAGAAAAUAAUUUAAUACAAGAAAAGAUAAGAUAAGAAAAGAACACACCGAUAUUUACGUGGUUCGGCCAACGGCCUACGUCCACGGGCGAAGACGGAGCAAAUAAUUUAUUAAUGUCGAAAAGGCGGAGUACAAGAAAGAUCUCUCAAAAGACCAAAAUUUAAUUAGGUCCGAACGCCGCAACAAGCUACUCCGAAAAGAGCUUCUCUAAGAGCUUCUCUCAACCUAAUCUGUACGGAUUCCAAAUUAGCACUAAUUAGUGCAUACGCUCCUUCACCGGUACGGACUCCCAAAAAAUUGGCUUCUCUCUCACCACCCGUACGCGGCCUUAAUUAAUUUGGAUGGAUCUUAAUUGUGUCGCGGCAUCUUAAUUUGGUCGCUACAGGAGUUUCGGCUCCUCAAUGCUCUAUAUAUAAUAUAUACUAGAGCCUUAAUUAGAGUCGGAUUCAUCCAAAUUAAUUUGAGUCUAACUCAAAUUAAUAUUGCCGUGACCAAUGGCAAGUUGCCAACUCAUUAUUUGUACCGAAUCUCAAUUCUAAUCUAUUUCAACUUAAUCUUUGCUCCAUAUAUGCCAAUUUAUAUAAUCCCUAAUUAGAUUAGAAUUUAUCCUCAAUUUAGAUAACUACAAAUAUAAACCAAAUUAUAACACCUCUCUCUCUUCAUGUGUGUGUGUGUGUGUGUGUGUGUGUGUGUGUGUGUUGGUUGAGAGUGGACAAAGUACGUUACUGGCACCCGUGACCGUUGCAUGUGAUCAGGAGGAGCUGUUGUGAGCAGAGCCCUCCCAUGGACCCAUGCCCCCUCACUCACGUGUCUCCUUUUGGCUUUUGCAACCAAAUACCCACUAAUACUCCAAAUGAACAAAAAAUAACUAGUCAAUUAAUCCACUACAAAAGACCUCUAAGCAUAUACCAUUCAUCUUACCCAACAAAAUUGAUGCGCUUGAAAAGUAACUUAAAAAUAAUUUCUUAUUAAUGCAGAGAAUUUUUAUCGGUAUAUGAAGUUUGAGAUGUCAGUGUACAUCAGUAACCUAUAAUGACAUAAUGAUAUUUUACAGUUUACCCAACUCAUUUCUCUACCUCUAAACAGGUAUGUUAGUUAAAAACCUAAGAAAAAUUUAUGUGACAAAAGGAUAUCCAUAUAUACCAACAAUGGGAUAUAAAAAACCAGCUAAUCAUAGUACACAUUGCCAACUAUGUAGACAAUUAAACAAGGCAUUUUCUAUUAUGUGGUUCCGACCAUUAGGACAAACCAUCUAUGCCAUAAACAUUCUCAUCUGAGUAAUUAUUUCAAAGGGUUAUAUAGAAAUAUAUAUAACCUCCUCUAUUGUUUUAUGUGGACAUGAGCAUCCUUUUCUUAUUGAAACUGUAUAUAUGGACCACUUGGCCAAGGUAGUCAGAAGUUUUGAGAACUAAUUACUUCAACCAAUUCUCACAAAAAGAGAUGGAAAAAAAGCCCUCUACAAAAGAGAUUCAAUGUGAUAGCACAAGCAAAAGGCAUGAAGGGGACAUUUAAAUUCCUUGGCAGUUGAAAAAAACUUCAGUAUUCUGUUCUCUCAACUGUGGGGCAAGAGUGGAUCAAUGUGGCAUUAGCUUUUAGAGAGAGAGAGAGAGAGAGAGAGAGAGAGAGCCUUUGUAUGGUUAUUUAAACCUAACCUUCCCUCCUCCAACACUCACCCUCUCUUUCUCUCUCUUUCUCUCUCUCUCUCUCUGUUCUCUCUUUCACAUAACUCUGCUUGAUACACUACACAAAGAUACAAACACAAAGAUGAGAAGUUUUAGGCUAAAGGGCGUCUGGGUGCUCCUUUUCAUUGUCCUCAUUGCACUGUGCUCCACAUUUGAUGCAUGUGAAGGGAGAAGAGGCAAGCAUUGGAGGGCAAACAGAGCUCCCUAUACAUCCUUGGCUAAGAAGAAAACUAAAGGAAAGGUGGUCGGAGGCGGCAGCGGUCGCCACCGUAGCGGCAGCGGCGGUAGCCGUCGAGCCCAUGCCCGAGCACACCGUCAAGCCCAAGUCCGGUUUCGCGGCCUAGAGUUGUGUUUGAUGUAGUUGAGUAUGGAGCAAAGGGUGAUGGAUACACAGAUGACACUAAGGUGGCCUACAUUGUUCUUUCAGAUGCUCUAAUUGAUUCUAACUUAUUUAUUAUGUUUAAAUUUAAAUUAGUUUUGUGUUAGCUUUUUAACAAGAUAAAACUAAAAUUUUUUAACCUUGAAUUUUGGAUUCUUUAUUUUGCUUUAAUACCUUAACUAAUUAAUUGUUCAUGAAAACUGUGAAGAAUGAUUUACCUCCAUGUCCCUGUUUUAGACAGGGGCGUAGGCAGAGUCACAAGAUGGAUUUUGUGUACUUGCUUUGUCGUUUUUCCAUGAUAGGCAUGAGAAAAUAAUAUUUUCCUUAUUCUAAUAUUUGUGUUUUUUCAACAAAAAUAAAAAUAAAAAGGAAUCCCUUAUUUUAAAGUUGUGUGCUGUAUCAGUGAAAUGAUAAGUUGUUCCUAAAACAUUCUGAAUUAAGAGCAAUAAAAAGUUUGAUUACAUAUAUUAGAAAUGUAGAUAUCACUGUAUUAUUGGUUUUAUCUCAUAUGCUAUGCAAAUAACAACAUGCUAUAAACUAAUUGACAAAUUUACUUCAUUUCUUCCUUCUUUUUUUUUCAACCAAGCCGAAAAGCAGUUUUACCAAGUAGUUGGUUCCAUGUAAAAUGUUUUCAAGAGUUUUACAUAUUUUAAGAAAAACCGGCAUUUUCCUACAUAUAAAUACAAACAUAAAAAUGAAAACAUGUAGCUCAAACAGAUAUAUACCAAGAACUAUUUUCAUUUUGAGUAUUGUUAUACCGACUUGUACUACAGCAUUUUGCUAAUACAGUAAGAUAAAGGUUGUAAUUGGAUGAUUGAUAAUUAAUUCACGAGAACAAUUGUUUAAUUUGUAGACAGAAUGGUAACUAUACUGUAGCUAGUAAAAAACUAAUAAGAAAGCUGUCAUCUAAGCAUAUCUCUAAAAAGCUGCCAAAAUUUCUAAAUUGACAAAGCAUUUUUCCUAUCAUUUGACACCCUAAAGAACAACCGUAAACAUAAAUUUUAAUUGUUUUGAGGAAAUGAGCAAUGUACAUAUGAUGCAGAACAUAGUGAGAAACAAAGAGUUUGUAAUGAAUGCAGGCAUUUGAAGCCGCAUGGGCGGCAGCAUGUAAGGUGCAGGCAUCAACGGUUUUAGUACCUGCGGAGUAUGAGUUCCUUGUGGGCCCCAUCUCAUUCUCCGGACCUUAUUGUCAACCCAACAUUGUUUUCCAGGUAACCGCAAGUUUUCUCCACUCCAAAAAUUCUCUACGAUGCUGCACCUUGUCAUAGUAAUAAUUUAUUAUUGCACUGUAACAAUAUGGCAAUAAAAAAAAGAGUGAUACCUUUGUCGAUGAUGAACCCGUCCGAUUCAAUCAAUAAGUCCAAUGUCUACAUUGGGUUCAGGUCUCCAGAACAAACUUACAACAUUCCUAAGUAGUUUGUUGAAUUCUGUUAAAAAGUUACUGAGAGAAGGAGCUGAAGAAGUUUUCUCAGAAUAGAGAAAGAAGGGGAAAAACAGUCCAGGACCAUUUUCAACUAACCAUAAUUAUAGGAGUGUUUGUAUGUCCUAACUACACACACCUUUUUUACGAGUAAUUAAUCCCAUUUAUAGUAGACACGAGAAAUUAUCAUUCUAACCAAUUCAAGAUUGAGAAUAAUGCAUAGAACCACAUUAAUCUACAAAAAGAAAAAAAAGAAAAAGAAAAAAGAAGGUAAAUAACAUAGAGAUUUUUCAACCUUUGCAGUUAGAUGGAAAGAUCAUGGCUCCGACAAGUGCCAAAUAUUGGGGCUUAGGGUUGCUACAAUGGCUUGAAUUUACCAAGCUAAAAGGAAUUACAAUUCGGGGCAGCGGCACCAUAGAGGGACAAGGCAGUGUUUGGUGGACCAACACGGGUGAUUACGAUGUUGAUCCUGUAAGAUUCCUCAUUUAUAUACCAUUGUUUAAUUACUUGAAAUUGAAAAAAGGAACGUUGGACUUAGCGCCCAUCUGCCCUGGCUUUAGCUUCUAUCAAUAAUUUGUUUGAGUUAAUUGAAGCACUUAAUAGCUUUUUCAGUUCGAUAAGUUGUUCCAAAAACCAAAAACCAGACCAAAUAAGGGUUCAAAAAGAUAUCAAACUAGACCUACUUUUAACCUAAUUCUCACUCUGCUAAUUGUGCAAUGAUACAUGCCUAAAUGCUACAAUCUCACCAGUUACUGGUAAAACCUCUAAUAAUUCUGUAAUUUUAAGAAUCAAAUUUCAUUAGAAAAGUAAAUAAUGAACUUACAAUGUUUACAUGGGUUGAUUUGUGAGCAGAUAACCGAUGAGCUAAGUGAAAAGAUGCCACAGAUAAAACCAACAGUAAGUCUAGCCUGUUAAACUUAUCCUGUCAUAACUUAUUCUGUCGUGACUUAUUCUGCUGAAAUUUUGUUGCAGGCUCUGAGAUUCUACGGGAGUUAUAAUGUAACAGUGACUGGUAUAACAAUCCAGAACAGUCCGCAGUGCCACCUCAAAUUUGAUAGCUGUGAAGCAGUUUUUGUUCACGACAUCACCAUCUCUUCUCCUGGCGACAGCCUAAACACUGAUGGAAUUCAUCUGCAGAACUCCAGAGAUGUUACCAUCCACCACAGUAACUUGGCUUGCGGUAAAUUUCUCACCUCAUUCAGCUCAACUCAGUGCAAAGUUUAAGAUAUAACCAGAUAUCUCUAGGUGAAAAUUAUACUCAUUUUUCAAAAAAUAAAGCUGGAAACUCAAAUUACAACUUUCAAAAUCAAAAUUUUCAGGUUUUUCUGCUUUCUGAAAGAUUGGUGUAUCUGAAAAUUGUCUAAGUUAUUCAUAAAGAAUCACCCUAUUCUCAACUUUCAAAGGAAAAAAAUAAAAUAAAAUUGUCUAGGUUGUUCAGGCCCAUUCCAUUAUCCAUUAGUUGGAUUUUCCAGUAAAGUAGCAUCUGAGCUUCCUAGCUACCUCUCAGACACAAUGGAGUUGAGGAAAAUUGGACCAGGAGUCAAUCUGUUUGGAACAUCUCAAUUUGGUCCCCAACCUUCUACCUAUCAUUAUUAGGUCACUGAUGACUGACCUCCAUAUACCAUUGCAAUCUUGCCCUUUCAUUGAAUUCCCCAUAGAUGGAAAUGCCCCCACAUAAUCGCCAUAGAAGUCUGCAUGGCAGCUAAAUGAUGAUUACAUGGAUGUCGCUACCCAAUGUUGGAGGAAUUUAACAGAAAGAAUAAGAUAGCUAUGAAUGUAUUGGUUGGGGACCUCAUUGUAACAAAUGAAAGGGCAGGGACCAAACUGUAAUUGUUACAACUUGCAAUGAAGAGUUUGAAAUUUUCUUUAAAAACAGAAAAAAAAACUAACUAAAUCAGGAUGGAUGAGACAAAGAGAACCUUCAAGAGAAAGCAGUGGAUUACUUUACCCUUUGAUCCGACUAAGAGACAGAUUCUGCACUGGAUGAGAGGGCCUGCUAAAUUACAUCUUUGGCUUCUCUUACAACAGGUGACGAUUGUGUCUCCAUCCAAACAGGCUGCACCAAUGUCAACAUUCACAAUGUAAACUGUGGACCCGGCCAUGGAAUCAGCAUCGGUGGGCUAGGCAGGGAUAAUACCAAAGCUUGUGUCUCCAACAUCACAGUAAGAGAUAUCACCAUGCACAACACAAUGACUGGUGUCAGAAUUAAGACCUGGCAGGUAACUCAGAGUUGAAUUCCCUAGAAAACAAAUUUCAAUCCCUAAGUGCACAUCUGGCAAGGUUUAUGUUCUUGCUUUUGUUUUUUUCACUUGAGUUCUAUAUUAUCAAAGGCACCUAGGAAUCAACAAAUCUAAGUUCCACUUUCGGUGUUUUGUUAGUGCUACUUAAUUUGUAAAAUCAUUAAAAAAAUAAAUAAAUAAAAAGGUUCUUGUUCUUCUCUCUUAUUGUUUUCUGUCAUCAAACAAACCAUAGAGAUAUAGAGGUUGCAAAAGACAUCACCAUGCACAACACAAUGACCGGUGUCAGAAUUAAGACCUGGCAGGUAACUCAGAGUUGAAUUCCCUAGAAAACAAAUUUCAAUCCCUAAGUGCACAUCUGGCAAGGUUUAUGUUCUUGCUUUUGUUUUUUUCACUUGAGUUCUAUAUUAUCAGAGGCACCUAGGAAUCAACAAAUCUAAGUUUCACUUUCCGUGUUUUGUUAGUGCUACUUAAUUUGUAAAAUCAUUAAAAAAAUAAAUAAAUAAAAAGGUUCAUGUUCUUCUCUCUUAUUGUUUUCUGUCAUCAAACAAACCAUAGAGAUAUAGAGCUUGCAAACAAUCUGAAAUAGCAAAAUUAAAAAAAAUCAUCCCACAGUGCCUUUUUAAUCAGAGCAAUGCUACUUUACACAAAAAAAGUGGGUAAAAAUCUUACACCUUACCCAUUUAAGGGCCAAUAUUUCCACACAAGCCAUCAAUCCUUUGUUUUUUUUAAUAUUAAAAAACCAAACGAGAUGUCUAAACUCUUGGAUGGGUGGUAGUAAGAUUUAAACCCCACAUAGACAAUGCCAAAAGAGCACUAAACAUCUUUCUUAUUAAUCAUCGAUACCCUUCCGUUGCUUAUUCUACAAGAUAUUCUAAAGAAACAACCUCUCCUUGCAGGGCGGCUCGGGCUCUGUACAAGGCGUAAGGUUCUCAAACAUAAGAGUCUCCGAAGUCCAAACACCAAUCAUCAUAGACCAGUUCUACUGUGACAGGAGAACCUGCAAGAACCAGACGUCGGCGGUAGCAGUAUCAGGUGUUGCGUACGAGAACAUCAGAGGGACAUUUACAGUUAAACCAGUUCAUUUUGCAUGCAGUGAUAAUUUACCUUGCUCUGAUAUAACAUUAAAUGAGGUCGAGCUCGAGCCACUUCAAGAACAGUACCACAUGUAUGAACCCUUCUGCUGGGAAGCCUAUGGGGAGCUGUACACAGAACCUGUUCCGCCGAUACCUUGCUUGCAAAAUGGGAAACCGAUGAGCAACAGAAUCCAGUCGGAUCACGAUACUUGCUGAGGGGCAUGGCUUACUAAGUUUGGUGAUAUUGGUGUUUACUUAUGUGCGGUCGUUGUGAUUAUUCCGACCCCUUUCGCACCAUUGCUUCAGGGUAAAUAUAUAUGAGAGUAUGCAGUUGUUACUGUUACCCAAUUCUGAUGGUUUACAUUGCUUCCCUUUCAAGGGAUAUAGAGAGAUUUAAGUUUCUUAAGGGAAGUGUCGGGUUCAGCAUCUCUGAAGAUGCAUACAGGAGCUUCGUUUGGGGAAGGUGAAUUCCUUGUAUAUGGAAAAUUGAAAUAUAUAUAUAGUAGGGCUACUAUAUUCUUAUGAGUACGGAGGCCUUCGUACUAUAUAUAUAUAUGUUUUGUCUCGAAUUCUUAAUUAAGUGACUACAAGAGCAUAAUGGAAUUCUGGAAGGUAGGUAGUUCAGCACAGAUUGAUUCUACAUGAGCAUAAUUGAAUCCUUUUAAGUUGCAACCAAAAUAAUGGUCUGAUAUAAAUUACCAGUGAAGAAAGUUCUCUGAUAAUCAGAUAAUAGCCACAUAAAGGAAAAGAAAGAAAAUGGUUCCCCAUAGGUGAAUCAAAAGCUCAAAAAUAGAAUUGACAAUUAAGACAAGACAAAAAAAAGCACCAAUAACCAUUGAAAAAACAUAGGCAUUACGACAAUCCUUUUUAUACAUAAGAUGUUACUUUAUCAAAGUUUCGAUUAGAGGUGUAAGAACUUCCUCUGCUCUAUAUACUAUAUUGAAGAAUAAAAAUCAGUCAGCAGACGGAUAACAAAAUCGACAACUAUCAGAACACAGAGAAUAAUGUGCUCUCCUUUGCAUAUUAGCAUAUCAGAAUGAGUGGGUUCCUGAAACAGCUGAAAAAAAAAAUUUCAUAAAGUCAAACUCUCAUAACUUGGGAACGGAUUUAUAUCUCAUAAUUACUACCUUUGAGAUAUGUGACAUAACCAAACUGAACAAAACCAAUUGAAGAGUGAAAAAACUAAAACUGGCAACAUAAUAGAUUCUUAGAAUAAAAUUUUGCAGACUUUUAUUGAGGGUGCUACUAUCUUAAUUUGUAAGCUCUCCCACUCAUUUUAUUCUUUAAAUGUUGAACCAUCUUUAAGGCUUUAUCCAACUCCUAUUAUCGACCAUUCCAACUAACCGUCACUCCCAUGCUUAACAAUAAUAUGAACAAAUCUCUUGAUGCUAUGAUGCCUAUUUGCUCUACCAGCAAUAUCUAUACCAAAUUGGUCAUAGAGCAAAAGAGGCUUGCAUUAGGUAACUUGACCAUUAGAAUAAUACAAUGAUAUGGAUCAUAACAAAACAUUCUUCGAUUAGGAGGUUACCCUUCUAACAAAUUGCACCAAGACAAUUCUAAUGCAGCAACGGCCAAGCUGUCGGACCAAUUGUCUCAAUGCUUGGAUACAGUAAGAUAUAGCAAAGAGUUCUCUCACAAUCCAAGAUGAGCAUAAGUAAAAAAAAAAGGUACGGAAAAAACUAGGAAACUUAAUGACUAAUAAUUGUGAGGCAAUCGAGUGAAAUAUGGGUGUACAAAACAAAAUGGAUAUAAAAAUCUAAUUCACCGAAAAGAAACUAAUAGAUGCACUCCAGCCAAAAGACUACUAGCUAGAAGUAUUAUUGGACAAAUAUUUGUCACAGAUCCAUCAAAGUAUUUCAUUCACUACUAGUUGGCACUUCGUUAUGCAUAAGCAACAGAUGCAAUUGCCAAUUUACAACAUUCAGGAAAAUCUAUGUCAAACAUAUAAUUAAAAUCUAAGAACUCUAGCUAAAAGAAAUAAGCUAUCUCAAGAUUUCUGACUAUGGCCUAUAUGGAAGGAGAAGAAAUCAUAUUAAAAGAAUAGAAAUGCUUACAGUGUUGAUUAUACAAACCUCAUGAUCAAGGCAUACAAAUGUUUAUAACAAUUAGCUACUUAAAAAAAAGAUAUUUAUAAAAUAAAGCAGAUAAAAGAAGGUGCUUGGAAAACAGUGAUAUAACUGCAAAAAAUACAAUAAGAUUACAUCUAUGAUAAGAUUUCCGAAGCAUCAAUAAUAAGAAUGCAGUUCCAACAUGUUAGAAAGUAAAAAUUUGCUACUACAACUAGAUGCCAGUAUAUGGAAUAAAUAGCCAACUGGUUCAGAAACCAUUCUAUUUAGCCAACCUUUGGUAAAAUCUUCACCCAACAGUUUCAUUGUCCUGUAGAUAGAAGAUAAACCAAGGAGAGAGCAGCUAACCAAGAAGAAGGACUUGCUAAUGAAUCAGCGUUGUGAAAAUCCAACAGCCGCCUUUCUCUUUUGAUUGUUACUAACUGAUUCAGGGGUUGGUAGCCCUGUUCUGCUCUCAUACUUCUUUUCCAGAUCCUGUUGCCAAAUAAAGAAAUUAUAAAUAGGGAAGUUGUAGAAUUAAUGUCAUAAGAGCAAAGUAAAUGGACCAGAUGAAGGCACGAAGAAUUAAUGUCAUAAGAGCAAAGGAAAUGGACCAGAUGAAGGCACAAAGUAAUCAAAUUUGUAAGAGUCAAAGAUCUUUGGUUUGCCAGAAUUCAUUCUGACAAUUAAGAAAUUUCCAUUUCACAUGUGGAAAAAAAAAUAAUGAAAAAUGUAUUUUCAAAAAUAGUCUCAUUAAUCGAGUGAAAUAUAUCUAUAACGAAAUCAAUACUUAUAAAUACUAACCUGUAGUUGGGACUGAAUGCUUUCAAGGACAUCAUCAGUCAUUCUAUCAAUAAAAAGAACCCCCUGCAAACCCACAACAAGGAUAUAAAUAGAAACAAGAUCAAAACCAAAGAGAGCAUAAUAUUUCUUCACCAAAAUUAUGCAACUGCAACAUACGGAAAUUAAUUUAUUCACAAAAAGGUAAACCAGAAUUUCUUUUCAAACUAUUAAAUAAUCUUCAGGUCUGAAUUUUCCAACAAUUAAAAAGUAAAUGAAACAAGCAAUCCUCGUGUGACCACGAUAUCAAGCUUCUAGCAUAAUUAGGAGAUGGAAAGUCAUAUGCACUAAAUUUUUCUUACCCAUCCGUGAAUUUUCACCAAGACUCAUCAUGGUCACGCUAAGUGUAACUAAAAUAUGAGAAAGUAGCAUGCAACAACGUCAAUUGUAUAUAGUACCUUCAGAUGAUCAAACUCAUGCUGGAAUACUCGUGCAGGAAGGCCUGACAAACUAACUUUAAACUUCGCUCCAGUUAUAUCUCGAGCAUCAAUUUUCACAGAUGCAGGUCUCUGAACGGAGAAACAAGAAAAUUUGUGGAAGAUUAAUUUCCUUCAUCAACUCUGUUAAUAAGUUUAACAGCAAAAUAGUAGAUCACACUUAAGGUGAGAAAAUGAUAACUACCAUUCUUAUCAACUGAAACAGAAUAACAACCAAAAAAUGAAACAAAACUAAAUCUUAAAAAACAAAAAAAGAUUUUGCAUGCAAGAAUCCACAGAUGAAAUUUUGAUUUUGUUUUAGACUAUCAGAGGGUUUGAAUCAGAAAGGUUAGUAAGUGAUGUCAUUCAGAUGACAGGAUGCAAACUCGAUAAUACUUAUCUAGGAUGCUAUGGUAUGGUUUACUAAUUUGAGAAAAACAAUGUGAAUUGGAAUUUAAUUAAAACUAGAAGAGACAAUACAAAUAAAGAAAGCAAAACUAAUUCACAAGGCAAUCAUAGAAGACUUUCCUACCAAACCUCAAAAGGCCAUAAGUUUUCCACAAAUCAAAAAAAAAAAGUACCACUUUUCAAAUAUACCAAGGGAAGAAAGUGAUCAACCAGUACCAAAAAGUUAAACCAUUAUUCGAGAUUUACCAAUUAUGUAACUCAGCACUUGAUUAAAAUUUGUUGUCCAGGUCGACAGAGAUUAUUUGUUUAAUUUCAAUUAUCAUAGACAAGAAAUUAAAAAGUUUAUAUGAAAUUACAAACUGUAAUAGUCUCUGCUUGUAUGCAGCUCCUCACAAGAUAUCUAAAGAAGUCGUAGAUAAACAGAUGAACUGCGUCUUUUAGAUUUAUGUUGCAUUAGUAGUUUGUGAUUGAUUCGAGCAGGAAACUAAAGAGACCAGGAGAAGCAAUGUGGGAUAGGUGUGGGUCCUAGAAAUUAGAGGAAAUCGCCUCUGGCAUUUGAGAGAAGGAGGGAUAUCUUUCAUACUUUGAAAAAAUAAUAAUUUAGAAAAUAGCGACCUUAGCCAUCUAGGCUUGCAUAGGCUUAUGCAGUUCUCUCAACAACAAUGGAUUAUUAUUAGAUGCUGUGAAUUGAAGCAGUUUAAUGACCUGCAAUCUUCUCAUUUACAUAUGAUAGCAUUAGUUGUUGCGAAUUAAGUUUCCAAAGAAUUUCUAAAGCUUUUCUGAAUUGAUCGCAGAAAAGAAAUCACUGCAUCUAGAUAUUGUCAUCUCGAUUUCUUGAUCAAAAUAACAGGAUUAGGAUUAUAAACAGUGCAUUGCAAGGAAUAUGAAAAGGUAAUGUAAGGUCCUUUUAAGUCACUGCACCACAAAAUCAGCAAAGAACAACAGCCACAAAAAUGGGUAGACAAGCAACACAGGCGAUUCUUACCUCUACAUCUGCAUAUAUUCCUGGAAAUGAUAAGCAACCUUCAUCAUAAAAAAGAGUCUUUUUUGAUGCUUUAUAUAACACUGGAUUCACAAGAACAAUCUCCUCUCCUUCUCCACGCUCACCGGCGGGAUUAAAUACCAUGAGAUGAACAUUAAUUCCAACUUGAGGUGCUGAGAGACCAAUCCCAUCAGUUCUGCAUAUGCCAAACAGGAAAAAAUAUAUAUAUCUCUUUAAAUAUUUAUUCAAGAAUUACUCACAAGAAUAUACUGAUUAUUUUUAGGUAAAAAUGCGUAAAGGUAAUCCGAACUACGAGCCUUUGCAAACGGGUGCCUCAACUUUAAAAGUAUCUAUUUCACCUAACCUUUCUGAGAUUCUAAUUGUAGCACCUCACCGGACUUUUUUUAUAAAACAACCCUCUAGAAUUUUAAAAUUUACGAAAUAAUCCUCUCAAAAUUUUAUUUAGAAAACUAACCCUCCUUUCGCCACAUCGGCGCCACAUCAUAAUUUCUUUUAAAGGCGGUGAAUCGUUUUCCGCUUUCUUCCAUUUCUUUUAAAGGCGGUGAAUCGUUCUCCGCUUUCUCCCAUUUCUUUUAAAGGCGGUGAAUCGUUCCCCGCUUUCUCCCAUUUCUUUUAAAGGCGGUGAAUGAUUGACCGCCUUUCACUUAUUUACUAUAUAAUCCUAACAACCACAAAAAAUUUUAACAAAUCACAUAUAAUCUUAACAACUUUUAAAUCCUAAUAAUUUAUCCAUAUAAUUUCAUACAAUCUUAACAGCCUGAAAAUCCUAAUAAUCUAUCCAUACAAUUCUAAUAAUCAAAUAAAAAUUCUAAUAAUCUACAUAUAAUCCUAACAAUCUCACUUUUAAUGAAUGCGGUGAACGAUUCACCGCCUUUAAAAGAAAUGGAGAAAGCGGGGAACGAUUCACCACUUUUAAAACGAUUCACCGCCUUUAAAAGAAAUGGGAGAAAACGGGAAACGAUUCAUCGCCUUUAAAAAAAAUUCUGACAUGGCGCCGGCGUUGCGAAAGGAGGGUUAGUUUUCCAAAUAAAAUUUUGACAGGGCCAUUUUGCAAAUUCUAAAUUUUUACAGGGUUAUUUUAUAAAAAAGUCCCACCUCACCAUUGUUCGCAAUUGCUCUAGAUAUUAUUGCCUGCAAGCAAUGCAUUCGUAUAUCCGUCUACCACUCCACUAUCUGCCUUUCAUCGCAUUUCACACUCCAAUAUCUAUCACUCACCUCGUUGAAACCUUUCUCCGUUUAAAAUUUGCAUAGUUUCGAAUGUGAUGCAGUGGAAGUGUAAGAUGAGAGGCGAGUGCAAACAAUGGUUCUCGAGCUGUUUGUGCUUGUAGUAGCUGAGUAUUAAAAUCUAAGUUUCAGACAAUUACGUACUAAAACGCAAAUUUUUUAAGUUAUGUAUCAAGCAAACAUUAACUGCAAGUUCAGCUCUCUAUGCAGGGUUUUAUGCUCUCAGAACAUUCCAAAAAUCUCAAAUUUAAUUUUUUUUAAAAAAUUGAAAAGCGAUUAGAGACUCACUUGUACAUAACAUCAAACAUCUCUUGGACAAGCCUCUUUAGGUUUUCAUCGAACGUAUUGAUCCGCUUGUUCCUCGCUCUCAGCAUCGGAUCGGGAUACUCCACGAUCCUCAACGGCGUCUCGAAGCGCAGAUCCGCGGCUAUAGAAGCAACCCAACACAAAAAUCUCACCAAACUUAUCAAAAAAAAAAGUGGGGGGGGGGGGGGGGGGGGGGAGUGCACAACUGCUCCGUGCCGAGAGCGAUGAAGCGGCAUACGAGAGGCCGUAGUCGUCGUGGCGACGAAUUGGGAGGAGAAGCCCGCGGCGCGCGUGGGCGGAGAACGCCAUGGGAGGGGGUGAGAGAGAGGAAGAGGGAAAAGGGCGCAGGGAGAGGGAGAGGGUUGUGAGAGAGGGCGAAGUGGAGCGGAGAGAGAAAGGGAGAGAGGGCGCAGUGAGAAGAGGCGUGAAGAUAGAGAGUCGCCGGGGAGGCGGCCGUGGGCGAGGCGUGGAGUCCGCGUUCGCCAUUCGUGCUCUUUUCGUGACAAUCAAGGUUGUUAGAUACCGAUUUUUAAUCUUAUUGAGCGAAAAUAUACGAAAACCCUCUCAGCUUUGUCUAUUUUGUAUCACAACUCCUCGACGAUCUUUUUAAACUUAUUUACUGAGGUUUUUCAAUAUCUGGUGUUUUUUGCACUGUACUUUUAAAAAAACUAAUUUUUUAAACUUUUAUUAAAGAAGGAGUAAUUCAUGAACGUUGUCAACGACUAAUAGUAAAUUUUUUUUUUCAAAAAAUGCAAAAUUAUAGCAACUCCUCCUUAUCAUAACUUAGCCUGAUUACUUAGCCAUUUGAAUUUUAAAUUGUAAAAAGGGUCAGCAUAAACCUUCAACAGUAGUAUUUAAAAAAAAAAUUAUUAUUGUUUAUUCAGCAAAUACAUUAUAAAGUAAUUAAUUAUAAUAAAAAUAAUAAUAAUAAUUACGAACAUAUCGAAUACAUAAAAAUAUAUAUUUGUGUACGCUACCUCAUGAAAUAAUUUGUAAACCUUUAUACCCGACAUACACACUCAAAAUUUUCUAAAAAAAUUAAGAAUACAAACCCUUAAUAUAAAAUUGUGAGUAAAAAUUAAAUUUUCGAGAAGCAAUCUUGAUAAUAACCACAACAGUAGCUUUCUCAAGUUUUAAUUCUUGAGAAAAUAAUUAAAAUAAGAUAAAAAAUAUAUAUAAUUUAUUUAAACUAUAAAUUAUUUUGAGUUGACUAUUUAAUCUUUUAUAAUUUUAUUUUUAUUAGCUAUUUUUUUAUUUUAUUUAAUCAGAGCCAGUCAACUUUUUAUAAAUUUAAUUAGUAUAAAUUGACUUUAAAAUAUUAUUGACUGAUUUGAAGUAAUAAUUUUUAAAAAAAAAUGGAUAGUAAAAUUAAUUAAUUAAAAUUUAAAAAGGUGAAAUUGCUAAUUCAAACUUCAAAGUGUUCUACGGUUGACAAGUUAUGCGUUCUACAGUUGUGGGCUUAUCACGUUGUCCCCGUAUCUUAUCCGAAACACUCGAUAAACCCCGCCAAUGUCCCCUCCCUCUUCAACCUCUUCGUCCUCUUCCUCCCGCAACCCUAAACCCCCUCUAUCCUUCGCACUACCGAGCUCCUCCCAUGGCGAAGAACCCCGAGAAGAGGAAGGAGCUCACCUCCGUGGAGAGGAGAGUGGCGCGCAUCGCCAGCCACCUCCUCCCUUCUAUCUCUCCCCUCUCUCCCGCGCCUCCGAUCGUGCGAUCCGUGGCUUCGGCCGAGGACAGCUACAGGCGCGUCCAUGGCGAGGUCUCGGCGAAGGAGGCCGCGUGGAGAGAGGUGUGCGAUGAUGAGUCGGGGAAGGGGUUCGUCGACAUUAUCUAUGAGAAAGCCCUCGGGGAAGGGAUCGCCAAGGUAUUGUAAUAGAGAUGGUUCUCGAUUUCUUUUUUUUUCCGUUAAAUAUAUAACUGUUUGUUGAACGAGAUGUAAGUGUAUUCCUUAUUUUGAAAUGUUAAACUCAAAUUGAAAAAUGCAAAUAAGAGCAAAUUAAGCUUCAGGGGUUUACUUCAAAAUGGAUUAUAUUACCCUUUUUUUUAAUGUUAGAUUCCCAUUCUUUAUUUCUUAUGCUCUUCAAACGUUCGCCUAAGGUAUCAAAAGAAAAGAAAAAAAAGGGGGGGGAAUGGGAACUUUUUGCACAAUAUCCUGGCUAAUUUUGACAGUCGUACUAUGUGAACAUCAAUAUUGAUAUAAGCGAGUACCAAAAUGGACAGUGUCAUUUUGGUUGUUAACAGUCACUGUUCUUUUCCAGGUACAAUGUUUGUUGAUUUCUUUUGGUAUAUUUCAUUGUAUUCAAUUUCAUUCCAAUGUGCAUAUAUUUGCACAUGUUCUGGUGAUUUUUGAUUAUUUGACAUGAAGAACUACAAAAUAGGAAACAUAAUGUCCAAUUUCUGUGUAUAGUAUAAUCUGUUAGUCUAAGAACUAAAAUUGCGAAUGACUAAAGCAAUAGAUGUUCCCUGAACUUGUUUAUAUGAUUUCCUUCGGAAAAAAAUGCUUGUAUGAUGAAAAAUAUUCUCAUAUUUCAUAGGAUAGUUCAAACUUGUUGAUACAACAUCUGGUAGCCUGGUAAGUUAUCUAAAUUUUGCACUUUUCUGGAUCUUUCUUACAAAAAAAAAAAAGUCCUGGAUCUAUAUAUUUAUACUUUUGUUUCUUUUAUUUCUCCAGAUCACAAUCAAUCGUCCAGAAAGAAGAAAUGCUUUCCGGCCCCUAACAGUUAAAGAGCUUAUGCGUGCAUUCAACGAUGCUAGGGAUGACAGUACAAUUGGUGUCGUCAUUUUGACAGGAAAGGUAUAUGAUAUUUAAAUAGAUGGCCUUGUGAUAAACGUUUUUAGAUCUCAAUUUUUAAAUUCUUCAAUUUGAUACUAUAAUUUUGUGAUUGUUAAGUUCCACAAUAAAUACUAGGAACUUCACUGCAUACACACACCCUCAUGUGAAUUGAGAAAAAGAAUUAAAAUGUUUGUGAUAUAAAUUCCAUAGGACUGAGCAACUCUGACUGAUAGCUCAGGAAAAUACCUUUUUGUGCCUUUUUAGCCUUUUCUGCUUUUCUCUGCAGAUGGCUACCGUUGGAAUACCUUACCAACUUUGAAUUUUGCAGCCUCCAUAGGAGUGCAAAGCAUCAAUAAUUACUUUACCUUUUCCAUAUAAUAACUCUUAUGCCAAUGCCAUUGUUUACUUUUAACUUAGGGAACCAAGGCCUUUUGCAGUGGUGGUGACCAAGCAUUGAGGAGUUCUGAUGGAUAUGCUGAUUUUGACAGUUUUGGUCGUCUGAAUGUAUUGGAUCUUCAGGUAGAUAUCCUUGUUCUUAUUUUCAUAGAUUUCCUGUUGUUCCUCUUCUUUAAUUGUAUACUAGUAAAUGAGACUUAGGCCAUCAUGAUUCUUGCGUGAGGCUUACGACAAAAAUGUGUUUCUUAGAGGACUAUAGUCUAUAAUCAUUGCGCAUAUUGUUCAUGACAAAUGAGUUGCGUUAAGUACUUCUGAUAUUUUCGAUGCGCUGAGCUUUCAUUGUUAUUUCAGUCUGCAACACAAUGUUUUUGCAUUGAAUUUUGUCACCUUUUCUUUGUUUGCAGAUCUGUUAGUUGAUUGUUGGAAAGUUUGCAUACUUUUACUAAGUGGACGAUAUCCUCAUAAUAAGUGUACUUACAUAUGCCUUGUUCUAGGAAUAGUCUGAGAAGAGGGUCGAUCAGAAAAAUGUUAGUAUAAAGAUAGUAAACAUCUUCUGCCAUUAUAAGACUGAUCUUCUUUUGACGAUGACCUUUCCGCAUAAGAGGAUCUUCUAGUGAAAACUGUGCUAUUUUGAUUCGCUCGCUACUUUACAUCUUUCUGUAAGUUCCAUCUGACUGCUUCAAUAGUUUAAUGAGCAGUCAUCCAGUAAGUAAUAAAUUAUACUUACGGGCUAUCGUCUUUUUACAGGUACAGAUUCGCCGUCUCCCUAAACCAGUCAUCGCGAUGGUAUGAUUAUCACUUUCAAUAUUCUGUAUGCUUAAAUUUUCCUCUCUUUUUUUCCCAAUUAAAUAAUUGACACUCUUAUUUAUGAUUAGGUGGCAGGUUAUGCUGUAGGCGGUGGACACAUAUUACACAUGGUCUGCGAUCUAACAAUUGCAGCUGACAAUGCAGUUUUUGGUCAGACUGGCCCUAAGGUGGCUAUCAUAUCUUUAUUAUUAUCAUUCCUGAAGAAUACUUUGUCUGUUUGUGAAUAAAGUAAAUGUUAGUUAUUUUGAAUAAACAUCAUUGUUGGAAAUGUGAGGUAUCUACUAACCUUAUAGUUAGACAACUUGUGAAAAAUCAGCUACAUGUAACAUACGGGCAUUUCUUAUGCAAGUGGUUUUUUUUUCUUUUUUUCCAAAAUCAUAUUUCCUGGGUGUGCAGAGUUAUCUCUACUUUUAAAAGUCAUCACUAUUGCAUGUGCUUAGGCAGAUAUAUCCGGAUAUUUGGUAUUAAGACAUGAUUGUUGGGCUCCAUCUAUGUAAUAAACAGCUUGUAGGAAAUCUCAGUCAUGAAUCAUGUCAAAUGUGAUGUUGGGGAUCAAUAACUACCGUGUUUAUUGAACUCGUAUGGAUAUUACUCCAUAUAGUCUCUUUUGUGCGAGUUAGUUAGGGGAAGAUACAAAGGUCUUGAAGCGUUGACAGUGAAACAAACCAGUCAGGACUCUUGGAAAAUCAUAAAUUUAGAAAGUUCAAUUUUAUGGAGAAUAGUUGGAAUCACAUUAUUCAGGAUUUAUGAGUUAUAACAACAUAAUUACUGAAGAGUUAAUAAAUUAGUAGUGAUAUGGUUUCUCCUAUCUUGAUGUGUGAUAUAUUGUCAGGUUCAAUCAAAUUGACUGUCACCAUGUUCCCAAAUGUUUCAUCAGCAUGCAUUCGAUUUGAAUAAACAUCAUUGUUAGUUAUUUUGAAUAAACAUCAUUGUUGAUCUUUUUUGUUUUGUAAUGUCUUAUUGCAGGUUGGAAGCUUCGAUGCUGGUUAUGGUUCCUCGAUCAUGUCCCGCUUGGUAAGCUAAAAAUUUGAGGUAGGUGAGUUUCAUGAUAUAUGGCUACCUCUUGCAAAGAGAAUCAGUAUUGAUGUUAUUAUAGCAAGCCUCCUUGUUAGCGUUCUUGCAGAUGAUAUGUCGAGUGUUUACUUCAUCACAAAGGAUAAUUUUGAAACUAAUCAUUCUUUUAUAUGUCAUAUUUUUACAAUGAAUCCUUUUAUAUACUACCUAUUUAUUAUGUUUUCUACUGCAUGUUUUCAUGUUUGGCCAGGUUGGACCAAAGAAAGCACGAGAAAUGUGGUUCCUCUCGCGAUUUUACACUGCUUAUGAAGCAGAGAAAAUGGGACUCAUAAAUGUGGUAGUGCCAGUAAGUUCGCGAAAGAAAACACUAGUUUCCUGUAUCGUCUCUUAUACUAACACUUCUCAGGGACUAGACUGUACAAAUGCAAAUCUGGUGUCUUUACUAAUAUGGUCUUUUUCUUUUUAUUGAGGAUAAUUUACUCGUAUGAUCAUUACCAGCCAAAGAGUCAGCUUUAAAUACACUGCUUAAUCUCGUCUAGUUUAUAAAUUCAAAUUUUAUUUAAGUUUUUGAAAAUUUUCUCACAUUUGUCAACCCAGGUUCUCCCCUUAAUUUUUUUCUGUCUCAAUUUUCAUAAGAUUUGGCUUACCAUCAUCAAAGUCUGGCACCUCUACAUCCUCCUCUACAAAGAAUCACUCAUUCUUGAAUAGUCUUAUACAUACGGGUUGGCCUGUACUUGUUUAAGGAUUCACUGUAUAUUCAAUGAUUCCCUAUAUGUCCUACCUGAAAGACAGAAAGUCUCGUCCUUAGGCAAUCCACAUGCAUCCUUACUGUCAGUUGGUCAUAUUCAAGAAAUAUGUUGCUUAAUGUCAAGAUAAAAAUAAAAAAUAAAAAAAGAAGGAUGCUGCUAUCCUAUGACCGAUCGCCUCAUUAGUCCAGAAUAUCUACAAAUUUAUUGAAAUAAAUUUUAUAUUUACACUGAAAAAAAAAAAAAAAGUUCAUGUGAUUGACCCUCAAAAAGAAGCAAGUUCCUGUAAAUUUGUGGAUUGCGUAGUAUUGGUGGCAACUGGCUACAAUUUUGUCUCAGAUGUGCUGACUGAUUAUAUCCUUUUCUCUUUGUAGCUUGAGAUAUUAGAGCAGGAAACGCUUAAAUGGUGCCGGGAAAUUUUGCGGAACAGCCCAACAGCCAUCCGGGUGCUCAAAUCUGCUCUUAACGCUGUAGACGAUGGCCAUGCCGGUCUUCAGGUACUCUCUGUGCUGUAUAAGUUUGGUCUACAAAUAGCACAAUGGUUUUAUACCAUAAAGAAAUAACACUUUGAUUUAAGGUUCGAUGGUUUAAUUUGUUUUGGGUGGAUUCUGCCAUUCCAUCUCUGAGAAAAAUCAUUGGCUACCAGUUUAACUUUGAUGCAACUAAUUGAGGCAUAAUGAAAAUAUUUGCCUUUUCCGUGCUAUAAAGAAAAGAAAAUGAAGGAUACUGAUGGAGAAUGAACCAAAAUUUGAAAAAUCUGUCUAGUUUGUAUUGUUUGCGCCGUAUUCAAUUUCUUGAGUGCAAUACGAGAAGCUGCUGUAUGCAUAAACUUUACAUAGCGAAAAUGUUAUCCACAUGAUUAUACACAAUAUUUACACUGCACUGAGAGUGUUUAGAUUUAUAGCUUCUGUUUGACAUGCAAGAGCAGUUGCCGAUCUUUGCGCUCAGUCCCUCAGAUUACAGUUGAAUGCUAGAUUAUCAUUUUUCUAGAAAAUCACGCAAAAAUGAUCUGAGCUUGCCACAUUUUUGCUCCCCCUCUCCUUUCUACUGGCACUGCAAGUCUUCAGUAUUUUCCAGUUAAAUUCUUCCCUGAUGCAGGAGCUUGGUGGGAAUGCAACACUCAUCUUUUAUGGCACGGAAGAGGCAAAUGAAGGAAAGACGGCUUACAUGGAGCGGCGACGUCCCGAUUUCUCAAAAUUUCCAAGGAAACCUUAAUGCCUCGUUCUGAUUCUCAUCUCUUAUUUACUUUGUUGUAUGAGAAGUUGCAUGAACGGAGCUCUAAAUCUUUUUUUGUAUUUUAGUAAAUAUAUUAUUCAAUAACAAAAUCAGCUAGAUCAAUAACAUUAUCUUUGUUUAAGCACAGCACCAUUGUUUUGUCUUCUUUUCUUUUUUGUCGGUGUGAAGUGUAAUAUAAAGACAUUAAUAUCAGCAAAAUAUCAUGGUUUUGUUUUUUUGAAAAAGAUUGAGUAAAAUUCAACAACUUUUUAGUGAAAGUUUCCGUCGUGGACUUUUUAACAUUUAUUUUUUUAAUAAAGGUUUUUUUUUUUAUAUAUAUAACUUGGUUUGAUGAGAUCGCGAGGCAAAUCACCAAAUGUCGAUUCGCGCGUACUACGGCAUCGUCGGUUUUAUCCACUUCACAAAUCUCGUACGCCACGUCAGCAUUGCAACUACUGUAUUCCACGUGGCAAACUAUCAUUCGCGGAUUCAAUGUUUCGUGUUCGGGUACAUUGUAGGAGAUCAACCAUCCACGUCCUCUCCCACCGCCUCUUCCAUCCGUUGUUCUAUAACUUACGCCGAAGCGGUGAAUAAAGUAGAAACCGAGAAAGCUCGGAAAAGGGCGAAACGAUGCUUAGGGCUACGGGAAAGAGGUUGCUAGGGUUAGGGUUAGGGUUUCCGCAGCGGGCCUCGCCUGCUGGCGGCGCCGCCGCCGCUGUGGGCGGAGCUCCGGCGGCGAUCCGGGGAUACCAUGAGAGAGUGGUGGACCACUACAACAACCCUAGGAACGUGGGGUCCUUCGACAAGGACGACCCCGCGGUGGGGACGGGGUUGGUGGGGGCUCCUGCGUGCGGCGACGUGAUGAAGCUCCAAAUCAAGGUCGACGAGGAGUCGGGUAAGAUCGUCGACGCGUGCUUCAAGACCUUCGGAUGCGGCUCCGCGAUCGCCUCCUCCUCUGUUGGUUCGUAACAUCUUCGUGUUUGAAAUCGAUUUCUUUUUUUUUUAUUUUUUGGUUUCGAUCUCUUGCAGUUCCGUACUGUUUUGAUUUGCUAUGCUGUAAAUUUAGUUGCUUUUGCUUUUCGUUUCAAUCAGUGGCGUAUUUUAAGAAUAGAAUUAUUGUGAGGGGAGUUGAUUUGGAUUCAAAUUGAGCACAGGUUUUGUUAAGAAUGGAAUUAUUGUUAGGAAACUGAGUAGCGAGUACUCUGGUUUCUUUGAAUUGAUGUAACAACUGAUGAAACAUUUCUGAGAACUGCUCUUUCCUAAUUUUUAUUUACCUAAAACCGGAAAAAGAAAAUUAUGUGCUAAUCCCUGUGUUAUUGCUGCAGUGAUGAGAAGUUUUGGAUUGAAUUGUAUUGCUUGUUCCUCUGUUUUCAUCAUAUUAUUACUCGAUCCCUGAACUUCUCUCUUUAAUGAUUUAGUUCCUGAAUGUUUUCAUUACGAAGGGAUUCAACAAUUGCACUCUUAGCUCUUAUCUGCUAGUCCAAAAUAUCUUAAUUCUUUGCUUCAUGAUGCCCCAUUCCCAGUGUUGGGUUAAUUCUGGCUCUUUUCAAUCAACUGAAUUUGUAAAUCACUCCAUAGUAAAAUUGGAACAAUGUUUUAAUAGUCAAUUUGUAGAAAGAGGGUAUUAUGAAAUGAAUUUCAGUUUUGUACGGCAAACAGGGACGGCGAACUGCAAAUUGUAUUAAAGAUAAGCCUCUAAAUGUUUAAGCCAAAAAUUCAGGGACUAGAUCAGGAUAUUUCAGAAGUUCAUGUGCAUUUUACUCUCAAAUUUUUAUAAGAUUUCUGUUAUGUCUUCUGGCCUGGUGAUGCUGGUUUGGUUUUGCUGCAGCUACUGAAUGGGUGAAAGGAAAACAAAUGGAGGAAGUAGUGUCCAUAAAAAACACGUGAGUCCUGCUCACCUUAUGCUCUCUUAGUACUUAAUGCCCUUUUUCAAUUAUUGUCGAGUGUAAAGAGUUUCUUUUUAUUUUUUGCAUGAUGAAAUCUACUUGAUAGAUGUCUUCUUUUCUUGUUUUUUACUUUAUUCAAACUUCUUAAUUUUUCUACCUUAUAUAGAUGUGGUGAUGGAAAUUUGAAAUCUUAUUUUGCGGAUGGCAAGAAUAGAACCUAAAACAUGAGAUUACUACAGUUCAAGAAAGAAAGAAAGAAAGAAAAGGAAAGAAAAAAAAAUGAUUACAAAAAAUGAAGUGUUGUGUCCUUUUUCAUGGAAGAUGCCCUUUGUAGUGAACAAAAAUCAUGUCUUUGUAUGCUGCAUCCGCAGAGGAUAACACUUAGUCUGACUUAUUAGCUUUACUAUGUCUUACAUGAAAACAAAAUUCUCAUAUUAAAUUAUAACAUCUUACUUCAUUGUCUAGAUUAGUCCCUUCUAUAGAAAUUUAGAUGCCUUUCUUCCAUUAUGGUGUUUGUCAUGUUGGGGCUAGGGCAGCCUGAAUGCCCAGUAUCUACAAACCUUUAUGGUUUUUUUUCCACAAUGUUCAAAGGCCUUUUCAAAUCCAUAGAAGCAGUAAGUGAAGCAGAGUUCUUUCACAUAUGUGACCAAACUGUCUGGUGUAGUCGUCUUUUCUUUUUUGAUUCAAAGUCCCGCUUGUCAUUUUAUAUUCUUUUCUACCAUUCGCAUGGCAGAUUCCCAGUUGCACUGUGGGUGGGAUUGACUUUACAUGUAUCCUUAAAUUAUAAGAUGUCCUUUUAUCUGAUUAGAACCAAAGUAUAGUCUUCAUCAAAUGCUUUAAUUAAUUACUAGGUCAUAUAUAUUGCAGCCGCUUGCGGUGCUUUAUACAUAUUUCCAUGGAAUAAAAGACAUCAUAAUGAAAAUGUUUGAUGUUGUCCCUCCAUAUUUUAGUGUCUUCUUAUAUCACAGAGCAUUUUUGGUGGAGCUAGAUUUCAAAAUCUAGAUCUGAAUUCAUAACUGUUUAGUUGGCAGCAUGAUUUAAAUGCAACACUUUACAUUCUGGUUUUUUACUGCUAACGUAUUUGACCUCGAAGUUGCAUAAUAAUUUAUCUUGGAUCGAAAAGAUAAUCGUUUCGCAAGAAACUGAUGACUUACUGCAGCACCUUUUUGUUAUUUUUGCUAGCUUGUAGUAAAAUAUUGAAAUAGAGUAUCUGUAAUAGAUAUGAUGAGCAAUUGAGGAUGGGAAAGAAUGCGUUAUGCCUUAUCCAGCUCUAUGGAGUGGGAAAAGGCUGGAAAAAGUAAAAGAUGGAGAUUUAGGAUGCGAACAUGAUCAAGAGUUUGUCGUGUCAAAUGUUAUAAUAUUUUGGUAACAUAAUUUAGCAUAAAAAAUCAAUGGUUUUUUCAAUCAGUUUUAUAGAAUGCUUAAAAAUGUUUAAGCAAAAAGUUCAGGGGCCAAGUUGCAAUGUCGAAAUUUUCUUUGUGCUUGUAUAUACUUCCGAUAGUAUUAGAAUAUUUUAUCCUCUGCAUUUGAAUUGAACCUUCUUUUAUACAUUUAUAUAUCGCAGAGAAAUUGCAAAACACCUCUCACUUCCGCCAGUGAAGCUCCACUGCAGCAUGCUUGCUGAAGAUGCAAUCAAGGCUGCUGUAAAGGACUAUGAAGCUAAGAAGGGUUGGACGUCUCAAAAGAGUGACAAUGCCGAAGCAGCUGGGGUAGCCAAUGCUUGAAUUCUGCAAUCUCUUGCUGUCCAAGGAUGUGACUGAUAGCUGCCGGUCUCGUGGGAUGCGCACAUUUUCUUUCAUUAUCAAGUACGUGAGUCGAUACAGAGUGCUUUAUAGCUGGUUUAAGGUGUGGUGUGGGAUGUUUAGUUGUAUAUCCUAAUGCACGAAUAAUGAGGAUCACACUUCUUUCGAGUGGUGAUUUAGACUUCCGCUGACCCUCUCAGCACGAGAAAUCAUAUUUGGUGCAUGUAAAUAAAAAAGAUGAGUCUUAAUGUGCAUAACUAUGGCGCUGUUAUAGUUUUGUUUCAAAAUGCAGGGGCUUGGCUGUUGACGGGCUGUUGACGGGCUGUUGACGGGCCGUUGACCAGUUUUCAUUGAUGAAACGGCUGCGAUACUAUAUCUUCCGGGUAUGUAGGCACUUUGCUUGUUUACACUCCGCCGCAGGUUUUCUCCUGUGUUUACCUUUUAAACCUUUUGUACUCUUUGGAUCUUGAAGUGCUUUAUCUCGAAAUAUAUUGUAAUAUACCGGACUUGUUGUGACCCGCCGAUGAUGAGAAUUUGCUGAGGCGAGGACGGUGACGGGGAUGAUGGUGGCCUCGGACUGCGACUCCGGGUUAAUUGGGUUAAAAAGAGUAAGACCAGGAGGCCAUAGGAAGAAGGGAUGGGAAUUGGAGGUACUGAGAGGGGAAUUGAGAUGAGAGAGAGAAUUGGGGAAGGAUUGUGAGUAGGGUGAGGGGAUAAUUUUGGAGAAGAAGAUAACUAGUUUUCAUUCAUAACUCCCACCUGGUUACAAUUACCCUAUAUUACUCAUCUCCAAGAUCUCGUUCACAGUAGAAAAGGCAAAAACUACAGGGAUUACAUUGCAAAAUAGUAAUUAACUUGGUCGGUACUGGGUCAGGCUUUCGGAUAAGAUCCCCUUCUGUUCCCUCCGGCUUUCCUUAGUGGUCGGAUCCUCUCAUUCAGCGCCUACCCCGAUACCGGUAAGCACCUGCUCCAAUAAGCUUGUUUAUUUACUAUCUAACCCCCUCGACUUGGUCUAGAUACUGUCAGAUCCUCUCCUCCACGACCCUAAUCACCUCGUUGCCCUCUUCUCCUCCGCGCGCGCUCUCACCCCUUCUACUUCCAUGGUCACCCCGACCGUCACAUAUAUCUGUAUCAAAAGUUGUGACCACUAGGGUGCCGAUGGUUCGGCAUCCACAAUCAAAUCACCUUAACAAGUGGGAAAGCGAUGAGAAAACUGUCUUUUGCGCUCAUUCGUUGGCUGUCACAUGAGGUAGGGAAUUUUCACAAAUCACAAAUCAAACUGCCAUCACAUUUGUCUCUGCUAACCACAUGUUCUGUGCAGGUUAGAGCGGGCCAACCAAUAGGUAUAUGGUCCAAGAAUAAUCCAUAAUGCCGAUCUUCUCGACCACAGUACAAAAGCUCGGAAGGUUAUACCCCUCUCUGUUUCUUUGCAAAAGUCGUAUGAGCUGACGUAUCAAAAACAAUAAUGUGACCGGCCGUCUCUAGAGCAAGUGGUAAAGGACUUGAUGGUUGGUACCUGAGAUCCAAGUUCGAAUCCUAGUUGAUUCACAUUUCUAACUAAGUUUAUUUCUAAAUAAAAUAAACGAAGUGAAUAGCAUGCCACCUAUCUCUCAAAAAAAUAAUAAUAAUAAUAAUGUGACCGAAUAGUUCGACUGACUAAACGUUGCCAGCCAAUUGACCACAAAACUAGCCUAUCCAUUUACAUGUGUGACAUAAAAAUGUAAAAAAAAUAAACUUGUAUCUUGAAAAAUAUAUCAGCAGUACGGCUUCGCGAAGCCCAUGAAGGGUCAAAAUUUUCCCUAAUUACCUCCAUCAGUUGUGAGAGUUCGAUUCCAACCAAACGUGUGAUUUUCCUCCACGUUGCUUCAUUCGAAGCCUCCAAUGCCUCUUCAACCUCCUUAACCUACAGCAAAAUAUGAAAUUAUCUUCAUGAGAUCUAGCUACAAAAUCAAUGAUCGCCUCUAUUUUUGAUACGAGCAGAGCAAGAUUUUGUUACAGGUAUAUAGCAACUUUAUUUUUUUGAAGGUGCCACAAGGCGAUUCCAGAUGCAAUCUCGACCGUUAAAUAUUGAUUGGUAAGUCGACAACAAAAGAGGAGUCCAAAUGCAAUCUCAACCGGUAAUUACUACUGGUGGAUCUCAACCGGUAAUUACUACUGGUGGAUCACUCCAUUCACAAUCACUCAUUAUCUAUCCAUAUUAUCACACGUGGAAAAUUUCGCUAAAAAGCCCACUAAAAGCAUUACAUCAUUUUCUUUUCCACGUCCUCCUCUACUCUCUCCACGGCCACCACAAUCAUAUGGUGUAGAAUCCUCAUUCGGCAACCAUUUCAUGUCCUUUCAAUUCAAUCGUACCAUAAAUUUGAAUCCUUCAUAAGUAGGAACAAACUCCCUUACAGCUAUAUAACAACCCCAAAUCCAACCAAGUAUACAAUUUAUUCAUAUAACUUUGAUUUUAGUCCCCUAGCUAGUUUAAAUAUUUUUCACUUUUAGUUCAAAUGGCCCCCAUUGUGCCGACGGCCCCAGCGGCGGGCAAGUCAGGUGGCCGAGUAAUGAAGUCUAGAGCUUAUGUUACGUUUCUGGCGGGGGACGGAGACUACGUAAAAGGAGUGGUUGGGCUGGCGAAAGGGCUCAGAAAGGUCGGGAGUGCGUACCGACUAGUUGUUGCGGUGCUCCCCGAUGUGCCUGAAGCGCAUCGUCGGAUCCUCGCUACUCAGGGUUGCGUAGUUCGGGAGAUCGAGCCGGUGUAUCCACCGGAGAACCACAUCCGAUUCGCCAUGGCAUACUAUGUCAUCAACUACUCCAAGCUGCGCAUUUGGAAUGCAAGUACAUUGAUAUAUAUAUAUAUAUUGCUAUUCGAUAUAUUUAUACGAAGUUCAACUUUAACUGAGUGUUAAUGUUUUGUUGACACAUGUAGUUUGAGGAGUAUAGCAAGAUGAUUUACCUGGACGCCGAUAUCCAAGUCUACGACAACGUCGACCACCUCUUCGACCGCCCGGACGGCUACUUGUAUGCGGUGAUGGACUGCUUCUGCGAGAAAACGUGGAGCCACACCCCGCAAUACAAGAUCGGGUAUUGCCAACAGUGCCCCGACAAGGUGAAGUGGCCCGAGCACGAGCAAGGUCGCAUGGCCUGCGGAGAUGGGGCCGACUCCUCCCCUCUACUUCAAUGCCGGCAUGUUCGUGUUCGAGCCGGGUCGAGAAAUCUGUGAUAGGCUCCUGGAGACUUUGCGGGUUGUACCGGUCACUCCUUUCGCUGAGCAGGUAAUUAUAAUUAUAUAUACUUUUGUUUUUCUUCUUUUUUUUUUAGUAUAAAUAAGAACUUCUUAUUUCAGAAAUAUGUAUAAGUUCAUAUAUAAGUAAGAACUAGACUAAUUUUACGUUUGGAUGAAAAUUGAGUUGUUCUCAUGAAUAAAAAAAAAAUAACGUUGGAUAAAUAAGGUGGAAUAAAAAAAAUAGUAACUAGUUAUAAAAAAAAUGAUGAUAUUGCUUCUCUCAUUAAAUAUGAAUUUGAAUUUUUAAAUUUCAUAAUUAUAUUUUUAUAUUUAAAUUUUUAAUUUUGUAAUUUAAAAUAUCAAAUUGUAAAUUCUAAAAUUCAAAAUUUUAAUUUUUUUUAUUUAAGAUCAAAUUUAAAUUUGAAAAAUAUAAAAUUACAAAUUAUAAAAUUUUGUAAUAAAUUUGAAAUUAUAAAUUUAAAAUUCUCUCUCUAUCUCUCUCAAGCUUGUUCCUAGAACAAGCUUGAGAGAGGAACAAUUCUACCUCCCACCCCUUAACGGGUUAUCCGUAACCCGUUAAGGGACGGAAACUAUCCGUUAAAGGGCGGGAACUAUUGUUCCUGCUUUUCUUUUUUUUGUUUGGAUAUAAGGAAAUGAAUAAGCUCUUAUUCCUUUUCUUAUAUCCCAUUCAAACGGUAUGUUAGAAAGAAAAAAAGAACUACCGUAAAUCAUGCCAUUUCAAUGAAUGGCUCUAAAAAUUUGUUAAUGGAUUAGUUAUAAAUUUAAUCUUGUAAUUUGAACAAUUUAACCCUAUGUAACAAUUAUGUAUAAAGAUACCAAAUUUGUAUUUAACUUUAACUUAGAAAUACUAUCGAGUAGAGAUAAGUCUCUGACACCACUAGAUCGAUCACGACCAGUAAGGAGUCGGAUAGAAAUGGAUGAGGGUGCAGCUUUGAGCCUUAACCAGAGGAAAGAAAAAUUAAAUAAAGCUAAGAACAAAGUGCUUAGUGGUAUUUGAAUUAAGACCCUCCUAUUCUGAUACUAUAUAUAUAUAUAUAUAUAUAUAUAUAUAUAAAACAGUAAACUACUUUAAAAACUUAAUUUGAGAUUCACAGUUAUAGAUAGUGUGAUAAAGAUUAACAUGUCAACCACCAUACAGACUACAGUGGUUGAGAUUCUCUUGUGUAUACUGUUUCGUGUACACUGAAAAUAGUAAAUGUAACAUGCAUGAGAAAAAAAUGGAAGCAUAAAACUCAAUCACCACAAUAUAUAAGAAAAGCGUCAAAAUUAAGGUUAUAACUUUAUUCAAUUAGUUCCUUAAUUAUUUCUUGCUAAUUUUAUACAAUUAACUAACUAUUUCUUGUUGUAUUUUGGUAGGACUUUUUGAACAUGUUCUUUGAGAAAAUCUACAAGCCAAUUCCUCUAGUCUACAACCUGGUUCUAGCCAUGUUAUGGCGCCACCCCGAGAAUGUCGAGCUCGACAACGUCAAGGUGGUUCACUACUGCGCUGCGGUAAAAUCCUUAUCCAUAAAUGCCCGAUUUUUUCAAGCAUUCGCUCCAUCGCUAAUCACUUGAACUUUAAAAAGUUAAAAUAAAUUAUACGGAUUUUGUGUAACGAUAUCGUUUAACAUCUUGCUCAUGAAUCUGUAACAAUUUUCUUAGGAACCUAUGAUUAAUCCUACAUAAAACCAAGUAACUUAAAACCUAGUUUUGAGCUAAGUAGUUAGAUCAAAAAUAAUAAUAUAGUUAAUUUUUAUCCUUGUUUUUAGCAUUUUAAAGUUCGAGUGUUGAUUCUAAUAUUUUGUUUUUUCUGAUGUAAUUUUUAUGCGGAAAGGGCUCUAAACCGUGGAGGUAUACUGGAAAAGAAGCAAAUAUGGACAGAGAAGAUAUAAAGACACUGGUGGCGAAAUGGCUGGACAUCUACAACGACGAUUCGCUCGACUACGUUGCAGCGGAGAAUGCAGUUCUGCAGGAGACUGCUUGCUCACUUUCUCCGAUCGUGACGGUCGUGACGGAGACGUCGAAUAACAGCUACAUUCCUACACCCUCUGCAGCAUAGAAUGAAUGAGUCACUCAAUAGAUCUUACUACAUAGCUAGGGAGCAAAUCCUCUACACUCAUGGGUGUAUACAUUAAUCCCAGGGUUGAGCCAAUGAGAUACCGCCAUAUGGCUCCAACCAAAAGAAAAGGUCAAAAUGUACCCAGGUGGCGGCCACAUGGCGGUAUUUCAUUGGCUCGCCCCUAGAAUUGUAUAUACCCAGCGGUGUUGAGAAUUUUGCCCUCCUUACUAUAGUGGAAUUAAUGAAGUUUCAAGGAGUUCUCCCACAUUUAUGAGGCAAAAAUUGUAUGGACAUAAUGUCUAAAUUAGCAUUUUUGGGAUGCCCUGGAUUGGCGCCACGUGUCUCGCAGACGUCCAUCCCCACCAUCCCUUUUCCUCCCUCUACUUCUUUCUCUCUCUAAAAAAAUCAUAUUUUUUUAAGAAAAAAAAUGGACGGUGAGAUGGACGUCUACGAGCCAUGUGGCGCCCAUCUGAAGUGUUCCCAAAAAUGUUAAUUUGUACACUAUGUCCAUACAAAUUUUGCUCGCAUUUAUGAUGAUGGUUGUAUCUACUAGUGUAAGGAGGAAAUUAAUGAAUUGUAACAACAUGCGAUUAGUAAUUGUUUUCUUUUUUUAAAAUUAUUUUGACUCUCUCUCAUAAUAUAUAUCCAAUCCGACUAGAAAUAUAAAAAAUUGGUGCUUCUAAAUUUUUAAUGCUUGAAUCAAUCUCUUUGAUCAUUUCUAAUUUUUAGAUUAAUAUUAUUCUCUUAAUAAUAUUAGGUUGGGGGUUAAGAAGUGGAAUAACUCCUUAAUCCCCAUAUUAUUCCCAAACACCCCAAAAAAUAGGUCGGGUUAGCUAACCUCACCUCAAAUGGGCUAUCCCGGGUUAGCUAACUCCACCAAACCCCACCAAACCCCAACCAAACACUAUUUUCUAUUCAUAAUCCAACCCAACACUAUUUUUCACUAUCCUGUACUAACUCCAAUCCCAAACCAAACACAAAAAUACUCUAACCCCACCUUAACCCUAAACUUAAUCCUAUCUAUGGAAUAACUAGUUUUUUCUUAAUUCCGAACCAAACGGUAGCCUCCAUUUUUCUGCAAAUUUUCUAUUUUGUGAUAACUUUAGAAAUUUUUUUUUAAAAAAAAAUUGUUUAGAUCUUGAUUACUGAUUUCGGAAAUAGAAGAGCUGUUUUGGUGUUUAAUUCUGCUAGGAAAAAAAAAAAAUCGUUAAGGAGACUCGUUGCUACAUGUCAUUUUUAUCCCCUAUUAAAAAAUUAUAAUUUUUUCUAAGAUUUUAUUUAUUUUUUAUUUUAGUAUCAAAAGAUACUGAACGAAUUAUAGAAUACGUACANAAAGGAAAAAAGAAAAAAAAAAAGUCUCAUUUCAAAUCUUACAUGACCUAGAGUACAUUUUGAAAUGAGUCUUUAAUUAUUUUUGUUUUAGCACAAACCUAAUUUUGUAAUUAGAUUCUUAACCUUUACGACUAAUUGCACUAAUGUUCCUUUUGUCAGUUUAGUCAUUAACAUCGUCAACCAUACACCCGCGCAUCACAUCAAGUCUCACUUCAGCAUCGUUAAUGUCGUUUUCCACGGCUAUGAGCAUCUCAACUUGGUGCCAACUGUUUCUUUUAAAGCAUUCGGCGUCUUUGCAUCAAAGAAGUCUUGCCAUCAAAUUCUUUCAAAAAUUUAAAGAAGUCUAAGCCCAAACUGAGCAUAAGCUAUGAGACUAUGACUGAAAUUUAUGAGAGCAAACUUGAUUUUAUUGGAAUUGGUGUGGCAUUUUCCAUCAAAACUAAUAGAAAUUCUGAUGGUCAAAACCCAACUGCAAUAAAAUAUAAAGGUCAGGCAGCGUUUGGUUAGGAGAUAGGAAUAGGAAUAGGCCCUUAUCCCCACCAACACCUUCAUUUUUUAUAUAAAACCACUACAACAGAAUUAGAUUAUAGAGACACAUGUUUGGGACACUUUUGAGUAAGUGUCCCAUUUAUGUUAAAACUUAAAAAAAUAUCUACUAAUGCCUAAAUAUAAAGCCCAAUCCAACCAAAAAUAAAAGAUUUCUCUACUCAACCCACCACGCCCAGUCCAUUUGGCCCGAUUACAAAUAGAAAAGAAAAAAAAAAAAUCAAUUACCAUAUUUUCUUCUCUCUUCACUCAAUCCACUGAAAUUCUAGACGAAGAGCCAUUCCUGUCGUCCUCCUCCGCCACCGCAGCUAACGAGAUAGAGUUUCGGCAGUUGCUAAAUGCUUAAAUAAGUGUUGGUAAAUUAGCAGCAUUUUUUUAGGUUAUAGCGACACUCUUUAACUGUCACUAUAUACCUAGCAACCCUACAUAUAGCAACACUUUUUAAAAGUGUCGGUAAUUUUAGCUAGCAGUACUUUUUUGACAUGUACAUAUAUUUAAAAGUGUCGCUAUAGACCGUUUUUGUUGUAGUGAACUGUCUAAAAUUGUUCUUAUUCCCGAGAACAAUCCAAUUUUCAUCCAAACAUUAUUUUUCUUAUCCCCAUACUUGUACCUAUCCCUGUAAUAGCUAGUUUUUGCUUAUAUCCGAACCAAACGGUACCUGAGAACUAGUAGCAAAAAAAUUAAAAAAAGUUAGGAAAUAAAGUGAAAAGGCGGAUAAAGGUUAAGAACAAAUUGUGGAAUUAAUU
rnacentral:lncRNA from 1 species